GGGCGUUUAGCGCAGUGGUAGCGCGUAUGCUUUGCAAGAGCAACAACGUCUCAUAGACGCGGUUAUCGUGUGUAUAAGGUCCAGGGUUCAAUCCCCUGAACGUCCA
rnacentral:tRNA from 1 species